rnacentral:rRNA from 1 species
AACGAACGCUGGCGGCAGGCCUAAAACAUGCAAGUCGAACGAUCUAGCAAUAGAUAGUGGCGCACGGGUGGGUAACACGUGGGAAUAUCCCUUUCACUACGGAACAACGUCGGGAAACUGACGCUAAUACCGUAUAAUGUCUCCGGACCAAAGAUUUAUCGGUGAAAGAUUAGCCCGCGUCUGAUUAGCUAGUUGGUGAGGUAACGGCUCACCAAGGCAACGAGCAGUAGCUGGUCUGAGAGGAUGAUCAGCCACACUGGAACUGAGACACGGUCCAGACUCCUACGGGAGGCAGCAGUUAGGAAUAUUGGACAAUGGGGGCAACCCUGAUCCAGCCAUGCCGCGUGUGUGACGAAGGCCUUAGGGUUGUAAAGCACUUUCGUCUACGAAGAUAAUGACAGUAGUAGAAGAAGAAGCUCCGGCUAAAUUCGUGCCAGCCGCCGCGGUAA